rfam:Felis catus isolate Cinnamon breed Abyssinian chromosome B1, whole genome shotgun sequence.
GCCUGGGUGGCUCAGUCGGUUGGGCGUCCGACUUCGGCUCAGGUCAUGAUCUCACGGUUCGUGGGUUCGAGCCCCGCAUCGGGCU